rnacentral:rRNA from 1 species
GAUGAACGCUAGCGGCAGGCCUAACACAUGCAAGUCGAGGGAGAAGCCCUUCGGGGCAGAAACGGCGCACGGGUGCGUAACGCGUAUGCAACCUACCUUUCACAGGGGGAUAGCCCGAAGAAAUUUGGAUUAAUACCCCAUAAUAUUAUUGGAUGGCAUCAUUUGAUAAUUAAAAUUACGAUGGUGAAAGAUGGGCAUGCGUCCUAUUAGCUAGUUGGAGUGGUAACGGCACCCCAAGGCUACGAUAGGUAGGGGUCCUGAGAGGGAGAUCCCCCACACUGGUACUGAGACAGGGACCAGACUCCUACGGGAGGCAGCAGUGAGGAAUAUUGGUCAAUGGUCGGAAGACUGAACCAGCCAUGCCGCGUGCAGGAAGAAUGCCUUAUGGGUUGUAAACUGCUUUUAUAUGGGAAGAAUAAGGAGAACGUGUACUUUGA